UGGGGAAUCAUGGUCAAUGGGCGAAAGCCUGAACCUGCGACGCCGCGUGAGUGAUGAAGGUCGUAAGAUCGUAAAACUCUUUUCAGGGAUCUUAAAGCCUGUCUGUCAACAACAGGCAGGUCUGACUCUCCCUGGAAGAAGCCCCAGCCAACUACGUGCCAGCAGCUGCGGUAAUACGUAGGGGGCGAGCGUUAUUCGGAAUUACUGGGUGUAAAGGGUAUGUAGGCGGCCCUUCAAGUCGCGUGUCAAAGUCCAGUGCUCAACGCUGGGUGUGCGCGCGAUACUGACGGGCUUGAGGGCUGGAGAGGUGAGCGGAAUUCCCGGUGUAAGGGUGGAAUGCGCAGAUAUCUGGAGGAACACCAGUGGCGAAGGCGGCCUCCUGGACCAUUCCUGACACUCAGACGCGAAAGCGUGGGGAGCAAACA
rnacentral:rRNA from 1 species